CGUAGGGUGCAAGCGUUAAUCGGAAUUACUGGGCGUAAAGCGUGCGCAGGCGGCUUUGCAAGACAGAUGUGAAAUCCCCGGGCUUAACCUGGGAACUGCAUUUGUGACUGCAUGGCUGGAGUGCGGCAGAGGGGGAUGGAAUUCCGCGUGUAGCAGUGAAAUGCGUAGAUAUGCGGAGGAACACCGAUGGCGAAGGCAAUCCCCUGGGCCUGCACUGACGCUCAUGCACGAAAGCGUGGGGAGCAAACAGGAUUAGAUACCCUGGUAGUCCACGCCGUAAACGAUGUCAACUGGUUGUUGGACGGCUUGCUGUUCAGUAACGAAGCUAACGCGUGAAGUUGACCGCCUGGGGAGUACGGCCGCAAGGUUG
rnacentral:rRNA from 1 species